rnacentral:rRNA from 1 species
AGUAACCUGCCUUGGAGUGGGGAAUAACAGCUGGAAACAGCUGCUAAUACCGCAUAAUAUGUCUGUGUCGCAUGGCACUGGACAUCAAAGAUUUAUCGCUCUGAGAUGGACUCGCGUCUGAUUAGCUGGUUGGCGGGGUAACGGCCCACCAAGGCGACGAUCAGUAGCCGGACUGAGAGGUUGGCCGGCCACAUUGGGACUGAGACACGGCCCAGACUCCUACGGGAGGCAGCAG